UUUUCCAAAUACACUCACAGUAUCAGAAUACAACUGUUUCCUUUUCUCCGAGGCGUAGAUCCCCCACCAUGUGACGCUGGGACAGACCAGGACUCCAGGUGGAGGUUGCAGUAUGAUGUCUAUCAGUAUUUUCUGCCUGAGAAUGACCUCACUGAGGAGAUGUUGCUGAAGCAUCUGCAGAGGAUGGUCAGUGUGCCCCAGGUGAAGGCCAGUGCUCUCAAGGUGGUUACCCUAACAGCUAAUGAUAAGACAAGUGUUUCCUUCUCCUCCCUCCCGGGACAAGGUGUCAUAUACAAUGUCAUUGUUUGGGACCCGUUUCUAAAUACAUCUGCUGCCUACAUUCCUGCUCACACAUACGCUUGCAGCUUUGAGGCAGGAGAGGGUAGUUGUGCUUCCCUAGGAAGAGUGUCUUCCAAAGUGUUCUUCACUCUUUUUGCCCUGCUUGGUUUCUUCAUUUGUUUCUUUGGACACAGAUUCUGGAAAACAGAAUUAUUCUUCAUAGGCUUUAUCAUCAUGGGAUUCUUCUUUUAUAUACUGAUUACAAGACUGACACCUAUCAAGUAUGAUG
rnacentral:lncRNA from 1 species